AUGUACCUCGUCUUCCUUCGCAUUGCCUUUGGAUCCGUUCUGGUGUCAGGUUCUCGUCUCAGUGAGCAGGUACACCAGACUCCAGCUGAGAUGUACCACAAACCCAAAGAGAACGCCACCAUCAGCUGCUCACACAGCAUUCAGUACUACAAUAAGAUCCUCUGGUACAAACAAGAAAGCGAUAAACAACUGCAGUUCCUGGGAUACAUGUUUCAAACCCACAGAAACCCAGAGGGAGGACUGGGUGUGAAGAUGGACGGGAGUGCAGAUGAAAACCAAAGCUGCACACUAACAAUUGAAGGACUCAGCCUGAACAGCAGUGCCGUGUACUUCUGUGCCGCCAGCCAACACAGUGCUUCACAUCACGGCACCUCGAAGGUGGCAAUCAAGUGA